CCACGCUGGCGUUCCAUAUUGCUCAUACCUUGACUUAGAUUCUUUGCAAAGUUAUUCCUCACAAUUUUUAGAAUGACAGCCCACAAACAAAUGUAAUGAAA
rnacentral:lncRNA from 1 species